rnacentral:snRNA from 1 species
ACUUUAUCUCUGCUAGUUUCUUA